CAAAAGUCAAUCAAAUAAAAUUAAAUUCGAAAUUUUAUGUGAUGUAAUUUGUAUUAAAAUGUGUUAUUCUAAAAGUGGGUUUCUCUGCUGUAUAUCUCUUUACAACGGAAGUAUAAUUAUUGGAGUAUCGGGCGUUAUAUUCGCCAUUAUUGGUCUUGCUAUUGCCAUUGCGAGACUUGCACAUAUAUUUUUAGUAUGGGCAAUUUUGGCAAUAAUAUUUCUACUCAUAUAUUUAACAGCCAAAAUACUCCUACUUUUAGGUGUUGCAUUUCAUAAAUGCUUUCUCGUGCAACUGUCCUUUUAUAUAGUGUGCAUAUCGUUAUUUUUCGCUUUUGUCCUGUGCGUAUGGAUAAUGGCUGUUGAUGGCGCAAUAUUACUCGGCGUCAUAGGAUUAUUCAUUA